GAUGAACGCUGGCGGCGUGCCUAAUACAUGCAAGUCGAGCGAACAGAUGAGGAGCUUGCUCCUCUGACGUUAGCGGCGGACGGGUGAGUAACACGUGGAUAACCUACCUAUAAGACUGGGAUAACUUCGGGAAACCGGAGCUAAUACCGGAUAAUAUAUUGAACCGCAUGGUUCAAUAGUGAAAGAUGGUUUUGAUGUCAUUUAUAGAUGGAUGGGCGUAGCAUUAGCUAGUUGGUAAGGUAACGGCUUACCAAGGCAACGAUGCGUAGCCGACCUGAGAGGGUGAUCGGCCACACUGGAACUGAGACACGGUCCAGACUCCUACGGGAGGCAGCAGUAGGGAAUCUUCCGCAAUGGGCGAAAGCCUGACGGAGCAACGCCGCGUGAGUGAUGAAGGUCUUCGGAUCGUAAAACUCUGUUAUUAGGGAAGAACAAAUGUGUAAGUAACUAUGCACGUCUUGACGGUACCUAAUCAGAAAGCCACGGCUAACUACGUG
rnacentral:rRNA from 1 species